UACGUAGGGGGCGAGCGUUGUCCGGAUUUAUUGGGCGUAAAGAGCUCGUAGGCGGUUCGGCAAGUCAGAAUGUAAAACUCCAGGCUCAACUUGGAGAGGCCAUCUGAUACUGCCGUGACUAGAGUCCGGUAGAGGAGCACGGAAUUCCUGGUGUAGCGGUGAAAUGCGCAGAUAUCAGGAGGAACACCAGCGGCGAAGGCGGUGCUCUGGGCCGGAACUGACGCUGAGGAGCGAAAGCGUGGGGAGCGAACAGG
rnacentral:rRNA from 1 species